GCGGGGUUGUUACCUCGCGCACGUGACCGCCGGGGUGGUGAUCGCCAUGCUUGCGGAAGUGAGAGUGGCGAGAGGAGGAGCGCUCGCAGGAGACACGCGGAGCCCCGGGCGAGAUCAAGCGGAGGGCACGCUCAGACGCGUCACUGGGGCUGUGCUCCCCGCUGUUGGGAGUGACGAGCCACCGGUUUGGACGCAAGUGCGUGCACGGCGAGCCGAUGGAAGAUGCUGGGCGAAUUGACGACCUCAAGGCUUUUACCGGUUGCUCCAGUGUUGUAGUGGAAGGCCGCGCGUUGUAUUUGGCGCGCGGUGCAAUGGACCAGGCCGGUGGAGGUGCCUGUCAGUCUGUGGUGCAUCACAAAUGGUGCUCUGCGUGUUUUGACCCUCGUGUAUCGGUUGGUGUGAGGAUACACGUUGCAUAUCCACAUCAAAUGCUGUGGCCUCCACUACAUCGGUGAUUUGGUUUGAUGUUUUUAAAAUUAUUUCUCCAGUACAGAUGCCUUGCGUUUUAAACGCACGUUUACAUUUGCGCAGUUUUGAAAUGGCGCGUUAGAUUAAAUUGCACCCAUUUUUGUAAUGCGCGCGCUAUUAUUGCAAUAACACGCUUCGGCACGUGGGCCACAGUGUUACGGAACGCGCCUGCGGAGCUGAUCGUCAGUCAGGCAGCAAAGUUGAGUAGCGAUGCUGCCUGCGGUGCAGCAGCAUGUCAACCACGAGCGCGUGCAGCAGCAGCCGCAGCAGCAUCGCAUUCUCGCACGCCAUUUUGAAGAUCUUGUCUGUGUGAACUUUAUCUUGUUCACACAUUCGAAUGCGCCAUCAUCUCCACCACCGUCGUCAUCCGAUGAUGAUGAUGAUGAUGAUAACCCUCUCUCUCUCCAGUAGUAACCCCACCACUCUCCCCUCCUCCUCGUCCCUUCCACCAGCCCCACUAUACCACCACACUCAAACAUCACACUACGGGUUAAACAUUUUUUUAGUUUUACCUUUUUUUCUUUAAAUAAGCUGUUACUGUCUUUAAUACAUGUAUGAUAGUAUUGGAAAUAUAAUGUUACAGUAACCAGUGAAAUAUGUGGACGUGUAAGAAUGAGGUUCGAUGGGGCGCUCUCUCCCUAACCUCAACCAUUCCCUUAAUUUAUUUUCAGUAAAUUCUGUUUAAUUACGCGAUGUUGAGUUACGCGCUGUCUCACAACCCCCUCGUAAAACGAGAGGUAGCAAUAUAGUCAAUGUGAUUAUUUUUUUGUAUUAUUAUUUUAUCAAAUACUCAUGCCAACGACAAUAUACAAAUUAACCUCAUUCCCUUAAUAAUGAAUAAUUAUGUUAAGAGUGAUUGAAGAUAUAUCGUGUCCUCGAUUGCAUUGUGACUGGAUGUCAACACAGAGCAAUAAAACUAUUGGCAUUCAUAAGUAA